CAAUAGCGUAUAUUAAAGUUGUUGCGGUUAAAAAGCUCGUAGUUGAAGUUUGGGCCUGGGCGGGCGGUCUACCUAUGGUGAGUACUGCUGCGGCCGGGUCUUUCCUUCUGGCUAGCCCUCGGGCGAACCAGGACGAUUACUUUGAGGAAAUUAGAGUGUUCAAAGCAGGCCUUUGCUCGGAUAUAUUAGCAUGGAAUAAUAGAAUAGGACGCAUGGUUCUAUUUUGUUGGUUUCUAGGACCAUCGUAAUGAUUAAUAGGGACGGUCGGGGGCAUCAGUAUUCAGUUGUCAGAGGUGAAAUUCUUGGAUUAACUGAAGACUAACUACUGCGAAAGCAUUUGCCAAGGACGUUUUCAUUAA
rnacentral:rRNA from 1 species